rnacentral:rRNA from 1 species
UAACGAAUCUUCCGCAAUGGGCGCAAGCCUGACGGAGCAAUGCCGCGUGUGGGAUGAAGCGUCUCUGACGUGUAAACCACUGUCAGGGGUUAGAAACAAUGAUCAACCCCAAAGGAAGUGGCGACUAACUCUGUGCCAGCAGUCGCGGUAAUACAGAGGCCACAAGCGUUAGUCGGAAUCACUGGGCUUAAAGGGUGCGUAGGCUGGUCCGCAAGCGUCUUGUGAAAGCCCUCGGCUCAACCGAGGAACAGCAGGGCGAACUGCGGAUCUUGAGGCAGGUAGGGGUCGCGAGAACAGUAGGUGGAGCGGUGAAAUGCGUAGAUAUCUACUGGAAUGCCGAUGGUGAAGACGCGCGACUGGGCCUGUCCUGACGCUGAGGCACGAAAGCGUGGGGAGCAAACAGGAUUAGAUACCCAGGUAGUCCCUGAGCGGGCUGGCAAGGCGCAU